rnacentral:rRNA from 1 species
AUUGAACGCUGGCGGCAUGCCUUACACAUGCAAGUCGAACGGUAACAGGUCUUCGGAUGCUGACGAGUGGCGAACGGGUGAGUAAUACAUCGGAACGUGCCCGAUCGUGGGGGGUAACGGAGCGAAAGCUUUGCUAAUACCGCAUACGAUCUACGGAUGAAAGCAGGGGACCGCAAGGCCUUGCGCGGACGGAGCGGCCGAUGGCAGAUUAGGUAGUUGGUGGGAUAAAAGCUUACCAAGCCGACGAUCUGUAGCUGGUCUGAGAGGACGACCAGCCACACUGGGACUGAGACACGGCCCAGACUCCUACGGGAGGCAGCAGUGGGGAAUUUUGGACAAUGGGCGCAAGCCUGAUCCAGCCAUGCCGCGUGCAGGAUGAAGGCCUUCGGGUUGUAAACUGCUUUUGUACGGAACGAAAAGACUCUUUCUAAUAAAGAGGGUCCAUGACGGUACCGUAAGAAUAAGCACCGGCUAACUACGUGCCAGCAGCCGCGGUAA